rnacentral:lncRNA from 1 species
ACUUUCAUCACUGGAUAUAUUCCUGUUAAAGAUGGCAGACGUUUGUCGUAAAAACUGAUCCAAUCGCAGAGCUUUCUCCAGGUACUGCAGAUAAAGGGGUUUUGCCAGCUCUGAGCAGCUGCCAUCCUCCCUGGCACCCAGCUCCGAGGCCAUAGAACAAACUUCUCCUCAUGCACAGAUGCCUCUGAACACGCAGCUGGGGCGCGGGCCCGGCUGCGGUGCGGCGCGGGCGCUGGGGGUGUCCCCGGGGCUCGCCGCCCCGCUCGCUCCGCCCGGCCUCUCGCAGCUCGUCGACGGGGCCGCCGCUGCCCGUCUCCUGCCGCGGGGCGCUCCCGGCUCCUGCCUCGCCAAGAUGGCGCCCGCGCUGCUACUGAGGAGGAGGCGGCGGCUGCGGGCGCUGGGACGGCGGCGGCGGCCACUUUCGCUCACUGAGAGGAGAGGAGCAGGGACACGGGGAGCCAUGGCGGGGGGGAGGAGAGGCGCCAUGGCCAGGCCUGAAUAAUCGAGCCCCGCACGCCGGCCCGCCGCUCCGGUCCCGCACUUCGGCCCCGCCGCCCCGCCGGCGUCUCCGCCGCUGCCGUACGAGCCCCGGGGCCGCCCCGCGGGCGGCGGCCCUGCGCGUAGCCCGCGGGGGGUUCGCACCCAUCGAUGCGCUCUUUGGGCCGAUUGGUAGAGUCUGGCGGUGACGGAAAUAGCCGAAGGGAUUCGGGCGAAGCGGCCGGGUGAGCCGGCGAGUCUCGCGCGAGGCGGGGGCAGCUCUCGCGAUGUCUGCGGCGGGAGGCGGAUGUACACCGGAAGUGACGUACGCUCGCCCUUGAGCCGCCGGAAGGGCGGUGGGGUUGCUGGCGGCGGCUGCGAGGAGCGGCCACGAGUCUCUUGUGGCGGGCGGCAGCGGCCCGGUCCUGGGCUGUGUGGGGAGGGCGCCCUCGUGACGGUUGUACGGGCAGAACGGCUGUCGCGUGCGGAGCUGCGUGCGUUUUGCUAUACUCGAGAGUUACGGCAGAUGAGCUUGAAACAACGCCAGCCUGAAUGUGAUAGCGAGGGCACGACACGUUAUGUUUGCUGGACCGCAGCUCGGCACGGCUAUCUCCCACAAUCCAUUAAGUAGUACCACUGGUCAGCGCGUUAAUGAUUUGCAGUGCUUCAGCUCACUCCCUGCAGAGACAGCAGUUUGUACCUUUUCACCACAUUCUGACAGCACAUGAGAGAGCAGAGGGUAGCACAGCAGCUUGGGAAAAAAGCAAGACUACUUGUACUUCCCAAAAAAGCUUCCUACAGUUGUCCUUGUCUGCAGGCAUCCCUGACUACACCUAGCAGUUACACUAAGGAAGAGAAGUGCACAACUUUGCCCCAUGUGACUAAGCUUAGAAAAAUGAACCAUAUCAAGUGCUAGCACAGAGCAUUACAAAUUGAGAAAUAUUUGGUGAAGUCCUACUUUCUUCUCCUUUAAAAAAAAGGAUUGAGAACAAUCUAAUGCAUCAAGACUGACAGGUUGGUCCCAACCUAUUUUUUUUCCCCACACCAUUUACAAAAGACAACAAGGGAGAGCUGCAGUCCUGUUUACCCUGAAGAUUUUGCUGAAGCAACACAGUCCAGGUGUGCAUCUCAGUUUUGUCCAUAUCCUGGAUAAGGGCACUCUACAACCACUCUCCUACAUCCCAGACUCAACACCUUCACACCCAACUAUUCCCAACCCCAAUAUCCAAUACCCUGCAACUUUCCCCAUUUUUCUGUAAUGGGACCAGAUGGGCCCAGGUGAUUUCAGUUCUGGAAAUACACUGCAAGCAGUUCUGUGCUGGCUCUGAAGACCCUGCAUAUUUCACAUCACAACUCACUGACUUCUGGGAACGCAUCACUGCUUGAAAGCCUUGUUCCAGAUGAACAACAUCACACAGUCCAGCACUGAGAAGGGGCCCAACCCAGCAUCUCCUAGCAGACCAAACAAGUCUCAAUCUCCACAUAAAAAGCCAUAAGAAACAUUUCAAACCUGUUUUAUUUUUCUACAGUGACCCAAGAUAAAAGAACUAUGCACUUCAACUACAGAAUACUGCUAAAGAUGAGAAAAAUACAAAAAGUGCACUAUGAAAGAUCAAACCUUCCAACUUUUUUCUGCCAGUUCCAGAUAUAAAUAUAUCUGGAGUUUCAAAAACCUUAUUUAAUUACUUGUGGUCUAGUAUUUUAACGAAUAACAGACAAAGUACACUGGAAAUUAAUUUUGCCUAUCUUUCUUGGGGAAAAUGCUAGACAGAGUUUACACUAAUUUAACUGCUUUCCCUUACUUUUAGAACAGAUGCUUUUUGGCAUACACACAUUACU